rnacentral:rRNA from 1 species
UCGGGAAUUUUGGGCAAUGGGGGAAACCCUGACCCAGCAACGCCGCGUGAAGGAUGAAGUAUUUCGGUAUGUAAACUUCGAAAGAAUAGGAAGAAUAAAUGACGGUACUAUUUAUAAGGUCCGGCUAACUACGUGCCAGCAGCCGCGGUAAUACGUAGGGACCAAGCGUUGUUCGGAUUUACUGGGCGUAAAGGGCGCGUAGGCGGCAUGACAAGUCACUUGUGAAAUCUCUGGGCUUAACCCAGAACGGCCAAGUGAUACUGUCGCGCUAGAGUGCAGAAGGGGCAAUCGGAAUUCUUGGUGUAGCGGUGAAAUGCGUAGAUAUCAAGAGGAACACCUGAGGUGAAGACGGGUUGCUGGGCUGACACUGACGCUGAGGCGCGAAAGCCAGGGGAGCAAACGGGAUUAGAUACCCUUGUAGUCCCUGAGCGGGCUGGCAAGGCG